CUUUGACUGGGACACUUCACCAGGACAACACUUUGGGAAGCCAAGGGAGGAAACAUGGUGAAAGAUCUAAUCAUGUGCUGAGGAGAUGCUGCUGAUAAGGUCACAUUACCUACAUGGUGGAGGAGAACCUGAGGAAUAGAAAGAUCCCAUCCUCAUCGGGGGACAGAAUGUCAUCGGAGACAGCAGAUUCUUCCAGCACAUUGGGUGAUAUAUUCUGGAGACCGGGAUGGGCAAAUGAAAUAGGCAUACUGAUGCUUAUUAUGUACAGUGAUACUUAAG